ACGUAGGGGGCGAGCGUUAUUCGGAAUUACUGGGGGUAAAGGGUAUGUAGGCGGCCCUUCAAGUCGCGUGUCAAAGUCCAGUGCUCAACGCUGGGUGUGCGGACUAUACUGACGGGCUUGAGGGGUGGAGAGGUGAGCAGAAUUCCCUGUGUAGUGGAAAAAAACUUAUAGCUCGGGAGGAACAACAGCGGCGCAGGCGGCUCACUAGACAGUUUCUGACGCUAAGAUACGGAAAAGAGGGGAGCAAACAA
rnacentral:rRNA from 1 species